rnacentral:ncRNA from 1 species
UAUUUAUUGGUUUAAUUUCAGCCAAAGAAAUACAAGAAAGGAUCCACAUAUAUUAGUUUUAUAGAGUUCAUAACACAAUAUUAGUUAUUGAUUUAGUGGAUAGAUUUUAUAAUUUUGUUAAUCAAAUUUAAGUCCUUUAUCUUAUUAUCUAGGAAAAGUCACAGUGCCAGCAUCCGCGGUUAUUCUGUUUAGUAUUAUUUCAAAAUAUAAAAACUACUUAGUAUCAUUUUCUAUAUAGGUAGAAUUCAAAUAGAAAUUAAAUAUUACUAAGUGAAUCAUAUAAAUUAAGAGUGCAAGAAUGAGAUUAGAUACCUCAGUAUUACUUAUAUAAUAAAUUUUAGUUAAACUAAAGAAAUUUGGCAGUCUUUUAUUCUUUACUGGGGGUUGUGUGUGUUAAAGGAUGAUCCACCAAUUAACUUACCCUUUAUUAAUGUAGGUGUACGUCUGACUAGAUAUUAAUAUAAAGAUAUAUUGGUGUAACUAUUAAUAGUUUAAGUCAAGUCUAUGUGCCACUAUAUAAGGGUUCACAUGCUACACAUUAAUAAAAAACAAGUUGUUAAUAGCUUUUUAUUUAGGACUAGUGAGUAUAUACAUUAAUUUAGUUGUAUAUAAAAGAGUUUAAUAGAGGUACAUACCGCCCGUCAAUCUCGGUUUUCACUGAGAUAAGUCGUAACAUGGCAGCCUAUGGGGAACCAGAGGCUUGUAAA